AUGCCGUCGUGGAACGAUGGAGAGGAGAACAGCGAGGAGGAGCUGGUCGGCAUGGAGCUAGAGCAGCACUGGGCGAACCCUGGCACCACUAUAGAUGCAUUCUUCUGUGGUAGAGCUGCAGAUGCAAGCAUCACAUGUAGACUGCACUUGGCCCCAUGCAUGAAAUAUGUUGCAUUUGAAGGAAAGGACACUGGGAGGAGGUUCUAUGGAUGUGUUGUUCCUCAGGAUGGUAUUGACUGUGGAGUUGCUCAGUGGGUUGAUGCCCCAUGGCCUUCUAUUCUGCAAAGAUGUUUGGAGAAGAUAUGA
rnacentral:rRNA from 1 species